rnacentral:rRNA from 1 species
GGAGUUUGGACCGUGUCUCAGUUCCAAUGUGGCCGAUCACCCUCUCAGGUCGGCUACCGAUCGUUGCCUUGGUGGGCCGUUACCUCACCAACCAGCUAAUCGGACGCGAGCUCACCCCAAACCGAGUCUCCCCUUUACCCCAAGACGAUGCCAUCUCGUGGUCUUAUGCGGCAUUAGCACCUGUUUCCAAGUGUUAUCCCCCUCGUCUGGGACAGAUUGCUCACGCGUUACUCACCCGUCCGCCGCUAGAACAUGAUUCUUUCUGCCGAAGCUUAUUCCCUCAUGUCCCCGCUCGACUUGCAUGUGUUAAGCACGCCGCCAGCGUUCGUCCUCGAGCCACUGAUCAAACUACU